rnacentral:rRNA from 1 species
UGCCAGCCGCCGCGGUAAUACGGAAGGUCCAAGCGUUAAUCGGAAUUACUGGGCGUAAAGCGCGCGUAGGUGGUUUAUUAAGUUGGAUGUGAAAUCCCCGGGCUCAACCUGGGAACUGCGUUUAAUACUAGCAAGCUAGAGAAAUAGAGAGGAAAGUGGAACUCCCAGUGUAGAGGUGAAAUUCGUAGAUAUUGGGAAGAACACCAGUGGCGAAAGCGACUUUCUGGCUAUUUUCUGACGCUGAGGAGCGAAAGCAUGGGUAGCGAAGAGGAUUAGAUA